rnacentral:rRNA from 1 species
UACAGAGGUCCCAAGCGUUGUUCGGAUUCAUUGGGCGUAAAGGGUGCGUAGGCGGCGCGGUAAGUCGGGUGUGAAAUCUCGGAGCUUAACUCCGAAACUGCAUUCGAUACUGCCGUGCUUGAGGACUGGAGAGGAGACUGGAAUUUACGGUGUAGCGGUGAAAUGCGUAGAUAUCAAGAGGAACACCAGUGGCGAAGGCGAGUCCCUGGACGAUACCUGACACUGAGGCACGAAAGCCAAGGGAGCAAACAGG